rnacentral:rRNA from 1 species
CAGGUGAGCCUGCGGUUUAAUCGGACUCAACGCCGGGAAACUCACCAGAUAAGACAGCUGAAUGAUAGUCGGGCUGAAGACUCUACUUGACUAGCUGAGAGGAGGUGCAUGGCCGUCGUCAGUUCGUACUGUGAAGCAUCCUGUUAAGUCAGGCAACGAGCGAGACCCACGCCAACAGUUGCCAGCAUGUCCUCCGGGAUGAUGGGGACACUGUUGGGACCGCCUCUGCUAAAGAGGAGGAAGGAAUGGGCAACGGUAGGUCAGCAUGCCCCGAAUUAUCUGGGCUACACGCGGGCUACAAUGGUCAGGACAAUGGGUAUCGACACCGAGAGGUGGAGGCAAUCUCCUAAACCUGUCCUUAGUUCGGAUUGUGGGCUGCAACUCGCCCACAUGAAGCUGGAAUCCGUAGUAAUCGCGUUUCAAAAUAGCGCGGUGAAUAUGUCCCUGCUCCUU